CUUGCUUCUCUUGAGAGCGGCUGACGGGUGAGUAAUGCCUAGGAAUCUGCCUGGUAGUGGGGGAUAACGUUCGGAAACGGACGCUAAUACCGCAUACGUCCUACGGGAGAAAGCAGGGGACCUUCGGGCCUUGCGCUAUCAGAUGAGCCUAGGUCGGAUUAGCUAGUUGGUGGGGUAAUGGCUCACCAAGGCGACGAUCCGUAACUGGUCUGAGAGGGUGAUCAGUCACACUGGAACUGAGACACGGUCCAGACUCCUACGGGAGGCAGCAGUGGGGAAUAUUGGACAAUGGGCGAAAGCCUGAUCCAGCCAUGCCGCGUGUGUGAAGAAGGUCUUCGGAUUGUAAAGCACUUUAAGUUGGGAGGAAGGGUUGUAGAUUAAUACUCUGCAAUUUUGACGUUACCGACAGAAUAAGCACCGGCUAACUCUGUGCCAGCAGCCGCGGUAAUACAGAGGGUGCAAGCGUUAAUCGGAAUUACUGGGCGUAAAGCGCGCGUAGGUGGUUUGUUAAGUUGGAUGUGAAAUCCCCGGGCUCAACCUGGGAACUGCAUUCAAAACUGACUGACUAGAGUAUGGUAGAGGGUGGUGGAAUUUCCUGUGUAGCGGUGAAAUGCGUAGAUAUAGGAAGGAACACCAGUGGCGAAGGCGACCACCUGGACUAAUACUGACACUGAGGUGCGAAAGCGUGGGGAGCAAAC
rnacentral:rRNA from 1 species